rnacentral:rRNA from 1 species
UACGGAGGAGGCAAGCGUUAUCCGGAAUUAUUGGGCGUAAAGCGUCCGCAGGUGGCCCCUCAAGUCUGCUGUCAAAGACCGGGGCUUAACCCCAGAAAGGCAGUGGAAACUGAAGUGCUAGAGUGCAGUAGGGGUAGAGGGAAUUCCCGGUGUAGCGGUGAAAUGCGUAGAGAUCGGGAAGAACAUCGGUGGCGAAAGCGCUCUGCUGAACUGCAACUGACACUCAGGGACGAAAGCUAGGGGAGCGAAUGGG